rnacentral:rRNA from 1 species
AUCUAUGGCCACGCCACCCUGAACGCACCCGAUCUUGUCUGAUCUCGGAAGCUAAGCAGGGUCAGGCCUGGAGAGAGGUGCACUGCUGUCUCCGCCUGUCUCAGAAGUUACCAGAUU